UGACACAGGGAGGUAGUGACAAGAAAUAACAAUGCCGGGCUCUUACGAGUCUGGCAAUUGGAAUGAGAACAAUUUAAAUCCCUUAUCGAGGAUCCAUUGGAGGGCAAGUCUGGUGCCAGCAGCCGCGGUAAUUCCAGCUCCAAUAGCGUAUAUUAAUGUUGUUGCAGUUAAAAAGCUCGUAGUUGGAUUCCUGGCACGGGGUAGCCGGUCCGCCUUGCAAAAGGUGCGCACUGAGCGGCCUCGGCCAUCCUUGCGAUGGUCUAUCCUGGCAUUCAGUCGUCGGGGUGGGGAUUCGCGACGUUUACUGUGAAAAAAUCAGAGUGUUCAACGCAGGCUUACGCCUUGAAUACAUUAGCAUGGAAUAAUGAGAUAGGACCUUGGCGGUCUAUUUUGUUGGUUUGCACGCCGAGGUAAUGAUUAAAAGGGACGGUUGGGGUUCUUCGUAUUCAAUUGUCAGAGGUGAAAUUCUUGGAUUUAUGGAAGACGAACUGCUGCGAAAGCGUCGAACAAGGACGUUCUCAUUAAUCAAGAACGAAAGUUAGGGGAUCGAAGAUGAUUAGAUACCAUCGUAGUCUUAACCAUAAACUAUGCCGAUUCAGGAUUGGCGGUCGUUUGUUCUCGACUCCGUCAGCACUGUAUGAGAAAUCAAAAUCUUUGGGUUCCGGGGGGAGUAUGGUCGCAAGGCUGAAACUUAAAAAAAUUGACGGAAGGGCACCACCAGGAGUGGAGCCUG
rnacentral:rRNA from 1 species